AGUGAACGCUGGCGGUAGGCCUAACACAUGCAAGUCGAACGGCAGCACAGUAAGAGCUUGCUCUUACGGGUGGCGAGUGGCGGACGGGUGAGGAAUACAUCGGAAUCUACUUUUUCGUGGGGGAUAACGUAGGGAAACUUACGCUAAUACCGCAUACGACCUACGGGUGAAAGCAGGGGAUCUUCGGACCUUGCGCGAUUGAAUGAGCCGAUGUCGGAUUAGCUAGUUGGCGGGGUAAAGGCCCACCAAGGCGACGAUCCGUAGCUGGUCUGAGAGGAUGAGCAGCCACACUGGAACUGAGACACGGUCCAGACUCCUACGGGGGGCAGCAGUGGGGAAUAUUGGACAAUGGGCGCAAGCCUGAUCCAGCCAUACCGCGUGGGUGAAGAAGGCCUUCGGGUUGUAAAGCCCUUUUGUUGGGAAAGAAAAGCAGCAGGUUAAUACCCCGCUGUUCUGACGGUACCCAAAGAAUAAGCACCGGCUAACUUCGUG
rnacentral:rRNA from 1 species